UCGAAUGCGCAAAUUACCCAAUGGCACAAAACGCGCGGAUCCUUCCCCGGGUUGGGUCACCGAGCGGGUAUAGGCCAUUAAACGGUGUCAUUUUGACACAUGAAGGCCUUACCUCAAACGGCGCCGUUUUGAAAGUCUUUAAAAAACAAAAAAAACCCUAGCUUCGUUUUAACAGCUUCAAAAAAAUAAAAAAAGGAGCACCCACUUUCGGCCCUCUGAACCCCAGCAGCAACCUCAACGGCAAUUCGCCGUGUGGCCACCGCGGCCAAAGACCGACGCUGUGCGAGGAAACCCCAUUUGCCCG
rnacentral:lncRNA from 1 species